UACAGGGGGUGCAAACGUUGCUCGGAAUCAUUGGGCGUAAAGCGCACGUAGGCGGUCUGUUAUGUCGGAUGUGAAAGCCCUUGGCUCAACUGAGGAAGUGCAUCCGAAACUGGCAGGCUAGAGUACGAAAGAGGAUCGCGGAAUUCCCGGUGUAGAGGUGAAAUUCGUAGAUAUUGGGAAGAACACCAGUGGCGAAGGCGGCUAACUGGUCCAGCACUGACGCUGAGGUGCGAAAGCGUGGGGAGCAAACGGG
rnacentral:rRNA from 1 species